rnacentral:rRNA from 1 species
CCUACGGGUGGCAGCAGUGGGGAAUUUUGCGCAAUGGGCGAAAGCCUGACGCAGCAACGCCGCGUGAGUGAUGAAGGCUUUCGGGUCGUAAAGCUCUGUCAGGGGGAAAGAAGUGUAUUAUGGUUAAUACCCAUGAUACUUGACGGUACCCCCAAAGGAAGCACCGGCUAACUCCGUGCCAGCAGCCGCGGUAAUACGGGGGGUGCAAGCGUUGUUCGGAGUUAUUUGGCGUAAUGCGCGUGUAGGCGGUGAAAGCCCCGGGCUCAACCUGGGAAGUGCAUUGGAAACUGGCAGACUUGAAUACGGGAGAGGGUAGUGGAAUUCCUGGUGUAGGAGUGAAAUCCGUAGAUAUCAGGAGGAACACCGGUGGCGAAGGCGGCUGCCUGGACCGAUAUUGACGCUGAGACGCGAAAGCGUGGGUAGCAAACAGGAUUAGAUACCCUAAUAGUC